GCAGCUUGAAAUUUUGCACCCCUCUACGCGGUGAGCGACAGGCAACACAUGAGAAUGUGGCUAAGAUGCAAAA
rnacentral:ribozyme from 1 species